rnacentral:rRNA from 1 species
AAUGAACGCUGGCGGCGUGCUUAACACAUGCAAGUCGAACGAGAAAGGGAUUGCUUGCAGUCCUGAGUAGAGUGGCGCACGGGUGAGUAACACGUAGAUAAUCUGUCUCCAAGCCUGGGAUAACUAUUCGAAAGGGUAGCUAAUACCGGAUAAAGUUGAUUCACAUAAGUGGAUUAAUGAAAGAUUGCCUCUUCUUGAAAGCAAUUGUUUGGGGGGUGAGUUUGCGUACCAUUAGCUUGUUGGUGGGGUAAAGGCCUACCAAGGCAACGAUGGUUAGCUGGUCUGAGAGGAUGAUCAGUCACACUGGAACUGAAACACGGUCCAGACUCCUACGGGAGGCAGCAGUGAGGAAUUUUGCGCAAUGGGGGCAACCCUGACGCAGCAACGCCGCGUGAGUGAAGAAGGCCUUUGGGUCGUAAAGCUCUGUCAACAGGGAAGAAGUUAUUAUCUAUUAAUAGUGGAUAGUAUUGACGGUACCUGUGGAGGAAGCGCCGG